GAAUAAUGUACUUGCACAUAUCUAUCUAAGAAAUGUUAAUUUGUUAAUCUUCAAUCGAGGGACGCCGUCAUUGUUUGAAUGGACAUCAUUCUUCAUCGGCGAUUACAAUGCCCUUGUUGCUUCUAUAUAUUGUGGUGGACCGUGAGUCCUAUAAAAUGUUUAGUUCAUAAAACUUAGUCCUUAUAAAUAAAUUGGCACAAUAUUUAGUGCGUAGCAUAUAUAAUCAAUGUAUGACAACUUACGCGGUCAUUCUGGCUUUCAGGAGAACUAUCACUUAGAGAUCUAUCAAUCAUAAGAUAUUUCACUUCUUGCACCUCAUCAUUGACUUUCCUUCGAUCACACUGGAUGGUCUGUUCUAGAAAAACAUAAAUGAUUUGUAGCUCAGUACUCCCUCCAUAAACUAAUAUAAGAGAAUUUAGAUCAUUACCUUAAUAAUCUAAACGCUCUUAUAAUAGUUUACAGAGGGAGUAAAUAUUAAUGAUUUAACACAAAGGAUAAUGCAGCUACUUUGUGAUGUACGAAAUCGAACCCUUUAUCCCAAUUUCGUGUUUCCUAAGAAACUCGUGCUGAUAAGUGUACUCAUGCUGACUAAUUAAUCAAAUAAUACACUUGCAUGUUGAGAUCGGGGCACAAGCAUUCUCCACUACAGCCAAAAAGCUCCUUGCGACCUGUGAAUAGGGAGGCUGACACGAAAAAGGCCUCGCCUCCUUCUGGAUAGGAUUAUUUUGAAAAUCUUUACCAUGAUGACAUGACUGAGCUUCCCUGAAGUGUAGGGCUGUAGACCUUGGUGUACCAGAUCGUUCAGCGCCUGAAGUUAGACGACUACGACGGUUCGGCUAGUCCAUGGAGGCAGCCGAUCAGCCGGCGAAAACCAGGUCUUUGCCGGGCUCAGAUUCUGCUCAGGGAUUUCUGCAGCAACAAUUGACAUGAAUCAAACCUAACGUGAAAAAAUCUCCUUACGCAGGUGGAGGACUAGAGGCAUGAGGAACAUCAAUAAGCACAUCUGCACGUACGUACCAUUGAGCCCGUCGAUCAGUCGUCACUAACGCAGGGGGACACACGGCCGGAGCGUGCCGGGUGGAGGUUGUGCGCAACCUCAGGCCUAUACAAGACGAGAGGACCUGUCCUUACUGGCCGCCGUAGGCACCUUGUCCACGAGCACACGUGUCCCCGCACAUCGGUGCCUCCUUGGCCAACAAAAACUCGUCACCUGAUGUGUCCCGGGCGGUGGCGACGGUAGGACGACGCCGGACACAACAUGCAUCACAUCCGCAUCCAGCGCACGACCGAGAUUUAACACAGAGACUUCCAGCUCUUACCAAAUCGGAGGAGAGAAAGGGGGAGUGAGUCGGGCUGGGUUACCGUCGGUGGAUCUUCGUGGCGCUGGAGGCGACGGGGAAUCCAAGGAGGUCGCGUACGUCGUCCGAUCAUAGGUUCCGCGCAUCCGCGCCCACGCGUUUCCACAGAUCAUGACCAUGCUCCGAGGGCUGCCAUCGAUUCCGAGUUCCGCCGAUGUAGUUCUAUAGAUCGCACGUACUCCUAUUUGUGAAUCUCAAUUAGGUUACAGAACCUGAACCUGAGAGUUUGUUAGUAUUUGUCCUUGCUUCUCUUCGUAUAAAAGCAAUAAAUAAUCGUUAUCAUGUGGAAAAUUAACAACGACCAUCAGUUUAGUACUCUCCUCGUCCCGCGGGAUUGGCUCGUCAUAGCAACAACGAACGACGUGUUGUACAUGGCUCGUCGUUAAAAUGCAAUUUUUUAGUAGUGGGAGUUGCUUCUUCUUCUUCUUCGUCGAUCUAGGAUGGGUUCCAGGCCGGCAGCCUGGGAUAGCAAGGAUGGACGUCGUUUUUCUUUUCUCGUUUGUUUU
rnacentral:lncRNA from 1 species